rnacentral:tRNA from 1 species
GUUGCUGUCGAUUAGUGGUCAAAUCAUGUCGUUGUGGCCGACAAGCCCCAGGUUCGACUCCUGGCAGCGACA